GAUUAUCGAAGGAUAAUACUAGACCUGAAUUCAUAAUC
rnacentral:ncRNA from 1 species